UGCAAGUCGAACGGCAGCACGGGGGCAACCCUGGUGGCGAGUGGCGAACGGGUGAGUAAUACAUCGGAACGUGUCCUGUAGUGGGGGGAUAGCCCGGCGAAAGCCGGAUUAAUACCGCAUACGAUCUGUGGAUGAAAGCGGGGGAUCUUCGGACCUCGCGCUACAGGGGCGGCCGAUGGCAGAUUAGCUAGUUGGUGGGGUAAAGGCCUACCAAGGCGACGAUCUGUAGCUGGUCUGAGAGGACGACCAGCCACACUGGGACUGAGACACGGCCCAGACUCCUACGGGAGGCAGCAGUGGGGAAUUUUGGACAAUGGGCGCAAGCCUGAUCCAGCAAUGCCGCGUGUGUGAAGAAGGCCUUCGGGUUGUAAAGCACUUUUGUCCGGAAAGAAAUCCUUUGAGUUAAUACCUCGAGGGGAUGACGGUACCUGAAGAAUAAGCACCGGCUAACUACGUGCCAGCAGCCGCGGUAAUACGUAGGGUGCAAGCGUUAAUCGGAAUUACUGGGCGUAAAGCGUGCGCAGGCGGUUGUGCAAGACAGGUGUGAAAUCCCCGGGCUUAACCUGGGAACUGCACUUGUGACUGCACAGCUGGAGUGCGGCAGAGGGGGAUGGAAUUCCGCGUGUAGCAGUGAAAUGCGUAGAGAUGUGGAGGAACACCAAUGGCGAAGGCAGCCCCCUGGGUCGAUACUGACGCUCAUGCACGAAAGCGUGGGUAGCAAACUGGAUUAGAUACCCUGGUAGUCCACGCCCUAAACGAUGUCAACUAGUUGUCGGGUCUUCAUUGACUUGGUAACGAAGCUAACGCGUGAAGUUGACCAAU
rnacentral:rRNA from 1 species